UACAGAGGGUGCAAACGUUGUUCGGAUUUACUGGGCGUAAAGCGCGUGUAGGCUGCUUCGCAAGUCGGAUGUGAAAGCCCUGGGCUCAACCCAGGAAGUGCAUUCGAAACUGCAGAGCUGGAGUCCUGGAGAGGAAGGCGGAAUUCUCGGUGUAGAGGUGAAAUUCGUAGAUAUCGAGAGGAACACCGGUGGCGAAGGCGGCCUUCUGGACAGUGACUGACGCUGAGACGCGAAAAGCGUGGGGAGCAAACAGG
rnacentral:rRNA from 1 species